rnacentral:misc_RNA from 1 species
GUGAAUCAUCAAAUUUUUGAACGCAAAUUGCACUCUCUUCGGAGAGUAUGCCUGUUUGAGGGUCAGUAUUAAUAAAAAUCGGUGUGUUGCUUCUUUGUGACGCUCCGGAGUUUGGGUCAUCUUAAUAUCCUUUGGGUUUUAAGGGGCUUAAAAUUGAGUUUUUUUGCGAUUUUAAGAUGUACUUAAAUUCUUUUUUUUAUUGGUCUGUUUUAAUGCUUAAAAUCUUUUUAGUUGGGACCAUGU